GACUCUCAACAACGAAUAUCUCGGCUCUUGCAUCGAUGAAGAACAUAGUGAAAUGCAAUACUUGGUGUGAAUUACAGAAUCCCGUGAACCAUUGACUCUUUGAACGCAAGUUGCGCCCUAGGCCAUCGGGCUAAGGGCACCCUUGCCUGGGCGUCA